rnacentral:lncRNA from 1 species
AGAUGGGAAUGGCCCGUGCUAGCACGGGCCCAACAUUUUAUUUGUGGAUGCUUUACAUGGCACUUGGUAACGAAGAACAGCAGUAAAGAACUUAAAAAGUUGCAACAUAGCGAUGUAAAAACUAAAAUUGCAUUAGAUGAAUGACGUAAGCAGAACGUGUAAAAAUGGUUGAGCUAUGAUUGAUACAGAUCUUUCGGACUCUAUUUGUCUUCACAAAGUUUCCUGCCUUAGUCAAUUUCUGCUUCUUCCAAGAAAGGUAAAUUUGUAUGUGCAUUAUAAAAUGUACACACAGGAAAUAAUUGAAUUUACUUGUUGAUUUGAAGAGAACAUGGAGUAAUUGAAUAACUCGUUCAACUUUUAAGUGUUGUCAUGUUGCAUCUUGCAAUGCUAGCUGUCGUAGUUUGAAUGACCAUCUUAGAACAACUAUUGGAUGUGCUUUGCACUUUGCCCUCUUUGCCAAGCCAAAAAUGAAUUAAAGACUAUUUAAAUAUGAAGAACGGUGAUAAAGUAAAUAAAAUUAUCUAUUGCAUUGGCGAACUUUAGACUAAUAAGCCUUAGAAUAUAUUUCACCUUUUAGCUAUUCGGCUUCUUCAACAUAUGGGACACGCAGAGCCAAAGUGCUGCAUCUGUUCAAGAGACAGCAGAACUCGCCAGAUCAUUUAGAAAGAAGCCAACCUUGUGCGGUUUGUUUUUAUUCCAUAAAAAAAUAUCAAAAAAUUUGUCUGUACGUCUUCUCAAUUUGAUUCCACAGUUGGUAGAAAUAAAUGGCCGGGAAUUUCACAUGUCAGCUACAACUUCAUGUGAAUUUUUUUGAAUGUUGCGCGUACUCUUUACUUUGGGCAUUACUUUUGGAGAAUUGACAUUUUUGAAGAGUCAGAACAAUAUAGAUUUAAGAAAGAAGAAGAAAAUGAUGAGAUGAAGUCUAAUAUGUUUUUGACAUAUUUAUCUCAUUCACGUCCAGGUCUAACAUGGCAUUAGAGCUCUUUCACUUGGUCAUGAGUUUGAAACUUAAAAGAUCAAUCUAAUGAGCAGUAUACAAAAAAGUUAAAUUAGUUGUAGGAAAAGGUAAUCUUAAAAAAAAUGUUAUGUUUUCUUCCUACUUAAAUAUAUGAAUUGUUCUACCAACUACUUUUGAAACUCAUAUUUCAGUGAUAUUACUCCAUAUACUAUCUCUUGAUGCAUUAUGAACAAAAAGAGGGCUCCAAGUAUCUUUCACAUAUUUCACAUUUCAUCAGAAUUUUCAUUACCAUCAUUAAACUUUUAGUCAUUUAAAUAAUAAACUCUUAUUAUGCAAUCUUAGAUUUCUUAUUCUCACACCUCCAACCUUCUUGUGAAUCAUUACUUUUUUUUGUCAUUUAAUAACUUUAGUUCUCUUGUAUUACGCCUUUCCACAUGAGGUCACUUUUUAUGGUAUUCAAAUUUUCCUCAUAUAACCAUGCAACUUUAACAAAAACAAUAAGUAGGUUGAAAUUUUAUCCAACACACUAUUAACUGAAGUGAGUCUGCCAUCGAAAGACAAUUUUUUUUUUCAAGAAGUCAUCUUAUUGAGACAUCUAUUUAAUAUCUCAGUCAGAUACUUUUGGCAUUCUUCUUUGCACCUCAAGAAAGUCCCAAAUAUAGGUAACUCUUUAACCUUUCAUCUAAUUCCUAUAUAAAAUCUCUGAGGUAAAUCCUCUAUACAAUGGUGUUGUACAUAAUACUCCUAUUUAAUUUGCUCAUUUUAAGUGCUUUUGAAUUUAAGCUCAUUUUUUGUAGUGUUUGAUUGCCAGAAAAGGCAAAAAAAAAAAAUUAAAUCUAAAAGUUGGGUAUAACCAACUUAUGACUUUUAGCUUUUAGCUUAGAAGUCAUCUUGUAAAAGCAAUCCAAACACCCUCUUAGCCAGAUUCACCCUUGAACCAGUUACUAUCCCAAAAGUUAGGAGAAUUCCUCCAUGAACAUAUCAACAAAAUGACAUUUGCAUAUAAAAUAUGAGAAAUUGUACAUGGUGCACCUCCCAUUCUAUCAACCUGCAACCUCUUUACCCAAUCCAAAUUCUCACCUUUUUUUAGCUUUAUGUUGAGAGUCUCUAUCAUCGAAACAAACAAAUAUGGGGACAAAACUCCAUCUUAGCACUCUAAAAGAUUUUAAGAGAUCUUGAGGGUUUCCAUUGAUGAGAAAUGAAUUUUCACUAUAUAUAUGCAGAAUUCAAUCUAUUUGAAUCUCUGUCUUUUUUCAAAAUUCAUGUGUUUUAUGAUGUCUAUAAACACGGUAAACUGAAAAUUUCAUUUUUUUCAUCAUUAUAGGAUUAUGUCUCUUGCAUCAAACUAAACCUGACAAUAUAUGAAUCAUCACAGAAAGUUUCAGCUAAAACUUUAUGUUUGUGCAUUAAUGUACACGACUGGAAAAAAUAACAAUAGUUUUACUCAAAAAGUCAUGACUAACAUCUCCAUUAUAAUUCAAAAACUAAUAAAAUAAAUAACGAAGAGAAUGUGAUUGUACUGCAGAAGAUGUGUGAUUAACUUUUAGAAUAAGAUACCUGUCAAAAUAGGCCUUGAAUCUCCACAAACAUCUUUCAUUGGUCAAGUGCAUCACGGAAGACCCUACUUUCCUCCUUGUUUUAAACUGAGUAGAUUUUUUCAGGGUUAAGCUUUCUUGCUCAAAGAAUAGAGUGAAUGUCAUAAAACAUUAAUAUGACAUCUAUAUACUUUACAAUGUGAAUAAACAUGCUAGUAAAACUUCAUAUAUACACCAAAUAGAAAUAAUAAAUGCUAUAAUUACUUUGUAGUAUGCGUAGGAGUGCAUCUCAUUUACCUACCCUUAAGCCUAUCAUAUGGCAACAUCAUCACCAUUUUAAGGAAAAUAAAUCGAAAGCUCAUUUUAUUGUUUAAAACAUACAAUUACAUAUUAAGGUUUUAAACUAAAACUAAAAUUCCUUACCCCUAUUUACGUCAUCAAAUGUUUUCGGCAUCUUCAUUCAAAUUACUUAAAUAUUAGUAACAUUUACUCGACAAAUAGCAUAUAAACUUAUUUAAUAAAAUUCAUAGUAGAAAAACUAACAACAAUUAAUUUAUCAUUGGCCUAGUAGUACUUAAUACACAUCACUUGAGUCGAAAGAUGAAUAAAUAGCAACUCUUAAUAUAAUAUCUCUAUUUAUGAAGGUAAAUGCUACUUACACUAACCUCACUUAGUUGAAAUAAGUGAAAACAUAUAGGUAGACUUUUUCAUGUCAAUCGAUCCUCCUAACCUGUACACAUAUACACAACAAAGUUAGACUAUACAUACAUUUUUACUCAUGCAAGUUAUAAAAAGGUGUUACAUUUUGUUGUAGGAGUAUCACCACUUGAUACAGCUUGAACAUCAAAUAUCUAGCUAAACGCAUUUCAAAUAAAUAUUUAUUUAACAAAAAUGAUAUAUAAUGCAUAUUAUAAUUAUUGAAUAGUUCUUUCUAGUGAAUGUGAAUAAUGCAUCCUUGGAAUUAUUAAAUGAGAGAUGAUUUCCUAAUAGAAUCCUUAAGGGGGCAUUUCAUCAAACACCUUGGUAGUGUGAAAGUUCUUCCUUCAAAUUCAGAUCUCAUAAAAGCAUUUGAACACUCACCCAAAAUGCAAGUAUAAGUCUUCUAAUAAAACAUGAAGAGCAAAAUCCAAUAUNNNN